GUAGGGUUUCCUCCUGAUACAAGGAUGAAAGAAAAUCCCAAACCAGUUUACAUCGCCUGUGUGUAAAACCGAAGUGUAGUUGAGGUGUUGGAUGACGAAAAAAUCCAAGGCAAAACGAUGACGUCAAUACGAUUGAUCCCAAGUCUCUCCUGCACGUAACGGCUGACAUAAUCCCAGCAAUGCCAUGCAAUCAUGAUCGUAAUCCGGACGCACUGGACGACGGAACGGAUCGUGCAUGCAACGCGCUAUGCGGCCGGGCGG
rnacentral:lncRNA from 1 species